GAGAGGAGUGUGUAACGUUACCAACGUCACAUCUUUGAUAUUUUGUUUUUAAAUAAUUAUUUUACCUUAUUUUCUUUAAUAUUUCAUUAAUAAUUAUCUUCUUCUAAUUGGUUUACCCAUUUUCCCCUUUAAAAAUCGGUUGGCGCUCUCUUUUAUUACCCUCUUUUAUUAUCUUCUAUUUACUAUAUCUCUUUUUAUUUAAUCAUCAUCUGAACAUACUGAACGUACCUCGUAUACAUUCUUACUCCGUAAGUAUCUGUCUCAAUACGGAACAUGCUGCUACUUCAUAGUACUUGGUUGUCAUUUUAAAUGUUGUUUUCAAUGACAGUGUCACUUCAUUGACUUGACCCCCUACUCCCUGACAUACACUGGAAGGGAAAAAUGAAUCCUUAAAAAGGCAUGUAAUUCCAAAAUUAGAUCAUUUUAUUUCAACAAAUCAUCUUCCUCUUGGGUUUUUUGGGAAUAAAAUCACUUUCCUCCCUCCGGGAGCUGCAAGCAUCCUCAAAUCGCCGGCGAUAGAACAACGAGGACCAUGUCAUCAGGGCUGCAACCGCAUCACCAAGACUGCAACGACCAACAUCCGUAGGCCUGGUGGCCUAGAACAUCCACGUCUCCAGAGCCAGUUGCAGAACCAGCAGCAGUACCAUUCGACAUCAAGAAGAUACCAUCAGCUACCAAAAGCCAUAAGUAUAAUCCAGAAUUGUUAGUUUUUGGCAAGAAUUUAAAUACAUUUUUUAAUGCAAUUUACUAAAUCAUUUUAUUUAUUAUAUCUUUAUGAACAAUAAACAUGAUUAGUUAAAAACUA